rnacentral:rRNA from 1 species
GACGAACCGUGCGAACGUUGUUCGGAUUCACUGGGCUUAAAGGGCGCGUAGGCGGGUCUUCAAGUCCGGGGUGAAAUCCUCUCGCUCAACGAGAGAACUGCCCUGGAUACUGGAGGUCUCGAGGGAGGUAGGGGCAUGUGGAACUUCCGGUGGAGCGGUGAAAUGCGUAGAUAUCGGAAGGAACGCCGGUGGCGAAAGCGACGUGCUGGACCUCUACUGACGCUGAGGCGCGAAAGCCAGGGGAGCAAACGGG